rnacentral:lncRNA from 1 species
UCUCCUCUCUUCGCAGCUCUUUGAAGGCCUACAGAUCUAUUGUUGUGAGCCCUUCACCAACAUGCCCAAAGAUGAGCUGGAGAGGAUGCUGCAGCUGUGUGGGGCUUCUGUGGUGAAGGAGCUUCCAUUGCUCACCCGUGACACAGUGAGUAUUUGGAGCCUUCAAAGGGGGAGGAAAACACUCUCCUUCCAUUAAGCAAGUCCAGUAAAUAGCCCAGAGAGCUUUCUCUACCCAUGACUCUGUAUCAGAAGACCCGUCUGUGAGUAAGGGCUCGGGAACUGUAAGCAUUGAAUGUACUGAGGGAGGUCUCUCCCUUCUAGCCCUCUUAACCAUGUGGAAGUGACUUUCCCUGAGGCCCUGCUUUGGCACUAAAUGCUUUUUCCUUUCUGGGGAUGCAGGGUGCUCAUCCAAUUGUGCUCGUGCAGCCAAGUGCCUGGACAGAAGACAACGACUGCC